AUUCACAUAAUAUAUUUAUUAGUAUAUUUAAUUUCCAAUUAAAAAGUUUAGACCUAACUAAUGUGAAUA
rnacentral:tRNA from 1 species